GAACUUCUCUUGGAACCACAACAGAAAAUGUAUAAUCUCUGGGGACAUUAAAAAAAAAAAAAAAAAAACUGAUUUCACAGGUCGAUGGCAGAGUUGACUUUUUGACUUUUGCAUCUGCAGAGAGAAAACAAGAAAUGACAAAGUUCAACUUGAGUUGGACAGUGUGGUGUGACAACAAAAAAGUAUGUCAGCAGCAAAAGGAGGUCUAAGUAAAACAUUGGACUGAUACUUCAAGAAGAUGGUCACCUACCAAGUAAUGCUGCGGUCUUACUGAUGCAAAUUACAAAUGCAAGUCAGAGGAUCUAUAUGGGAAAUUCCACAACCAUGGAGAGUAUUAAGCGAAGUUCAUGUUUAUGCCUCCUUUUUGUGGUAAAUGAAAUUAUAUUUAUGGGAUCUCUCUCCAUUUACUACAGGAUGUUCUUUCCUCGAGUCAGAGUUUGAAGAGAGAUACAGAAGCUUUUGUGGUCUGUCUUCAGAAGAAUGGAUGAGAGAGAAGAUAUACAUAUUAAUUUCAGCAUUUACCAUAUUGCAUCAAUCAACAAACUAAGGGUUACUGGCAUGCUUGAUAUUCUUUUCUCUACCUAAUUUAAAAUCCUUAAUUUAAUUCUUAAAAGCCUUAAUUUAAAAUCCUCUAUAAUACAACUAUUCUUUAAUUGUUCUACUGUCCUUAGCUACGCUAUCUCUUCUAGUAUAACAUUUACAAAAAUGCAGUAAUCUUGUAUGCAGUUUUACAAUAUCUUGAACCAUAAAUAUUUGUGUUUGCAGGUGUAUAGAGCACACAUGCGUAUUUAUGUUUAAUGUGUAAUUAUAUACUGUAAAUAUAUUACCCACAUAUAGAUCCAUGUCUAAUCUCUAAAUAUAAUCACUAAAUUUUAUCUAGCUAUAUUGUUUAUGAACUUAUUAAGUUAAAUUAAUAAAUCUUAGAAAUACAUCA
rnacentral:lncRNA from 1 species